CCCUUAGAGUUUGAUCCUGGCUCAGGAUGAACGCUGGCGGCGUGCUUAACACAUGCAAGUCGAACGGGAUCCCAGGAGCUUGCUCCUGGGUGAGAGUGGCGAACGGGUGAGUAAUGCGUGACCGACCUGCCCCAUACACCGGAAUAGCUCCUGGAAACGGGUGGUAAUGCCGGAUGCUCCAGUUGGAUGCAUGUCCUUCUGGGAAAGAUUCUAUCGGUAUGGGAUGGGGUCGCGUCCUAUCAGCUUGAUGGCGGGGUAACGGCCCACCAUGGCUUCGACGGGUAGCCGGCCUGAGAGGGCGACCGGCCACAUUGGGACUGAGAUACGGCCCAGACUCCUACGGGAGGCAGCAGUGGGGAAUAUUGCACAAUGGGCGCAAGCCUGAUGCAGCGACGCCGCGUGCGGGAUGACGGCCUUCGGGUUGUAAACCGCUUUUGACUGGGAGCAAGCCCUUCGGGGAGAGUGUACCUUCGAAUAAGCCCGGCUACUCGG
rnacentral:rRNA from 1 species